ensembl:lncRNA
AGAAAGCAGGCAGCCAGACAUUAAGGUGUAUGACCAAUCAGACACAGAAGUUGACACAGAGGUUUUUGAAGAAAUGGUGAAGGAGUCACCUGGAACUUUGAGAAUCAUGCUGGACAAUGGAGGACUUGGUGCCUCUCAAUCAUCAUGCCCGGGUACAUCUGAGGACACCGUCAUCCUGAAUUUCACGUUUUGUGACCCCAUUGAAGAAGAAGCCGCUGCAGAAGAAAGCCAGCCUAAAAGGCCAUGCCACAUUAACCUUGAGGCAAAAGUGGAACAUUACUACGAUCCAGAGAGUGGUUCGGGAUAUCUUUCAUGGCGAUUAAAGACCAUACAAAGAAAAACAGCAGAGGAAAGAGGUGCCUCAAUCAGCAUAUCUCCUAAAG